ensembl:lncRNA
GGCUGAUCAGGCCGUUGCGAUGUGAUGCUACUGCUCUCCCGCCAGCUUUGUUCAGAGCAGGACUUUGUCCUGAAGUGUACAUCCACGCUUGUGCCGGCAGAUGGCAUCCCAUAUGUCAGCAAGCACCCUCCGAAAAGGAACAGUUCAUGACACUUGGAGACCUGCUUGCAGCCAUGGCCAAAACAUUUCCAUUUAUUUCCUCUAAACGUUCAUCAGGAUCGUGGUCACAGAAAACUGAAGCCCUGCUAGAAAAGGGAGAGGACCAGAUGCUGGGAUCCGCCCACUCCCUGAGUAUGUCUCAGGACUGCCUGCUUCAGUUGGUGUUCAGAAGACAUAGGCGUCACUUAAUGACCUGCUGUUCAAACUAUGCUCUGCGGACAACAUUAAUAGCCUUCCCUGCAAUUGCUGUGGUUGGCCUCUGUCUGCAUAAUCAUUCAGCUUGAAAUGUUAAUCUGGUUUAUAUUUUACUACCAUAUAAAAGUGUGCCUGGAUCAGGGAAACCUGCAGUGCAAUAACCACAAUAGUGCGUGUUCCUAAAUUAAGCAUCCUUCCUUGCUGCUACACUGCAACUUCACCUGGGGACCUCUGCACUGGAUAAAUACAUGACUGCACAAAAGAAGGUAAAACAGAGCAUAUGGCUUCAUUGGGAUUUAGUUCUAACACUUUCUAAGGAAUUACUGUAGCAUUUCUUUCAGAGAAAAAGAAGUUCUCUUCCUAUCACACACACAAAGAAACUGCUGAGAGAUUUGUGUAAGCUUAUUGCAACUGUCUCCACAUUAUUGAUCCUGUGGCUGUUCUGUAAGGCAAUUGCAAACAAUAAGUCAUCAUUGCGUGUUAGUCGCAAAAAAAAAGCAAGGGGAGGUGGGAGUGCAAUCUGAAUACAGAUUCUGACCUGCUUUCUGUGUCUCUGAACAUCGAGACAAAUUUAAGCAUCACCAGCCCAGACCUUGAGUCCUACAUAGUGGAAUAACUAUACAAAAAAGCAGUUUACUGCCUCAUCUUUAAUUCUGCUGUGUCUAGCAAAGCCAUUGCUUUACAGUGCUGAAGUAUUAGAAAUGCUGCUAUUUGAAAUGCCAGUAAUGCUAAAAAUAUAGUACAGGACUAUGCUACCACUACAAUAACAAGUGGAUGACAUAUCAAAGAGAAAGCUAUUUUAACAAAGGUAUGUAUGGAUAAUGAUAAAUAGAAGUACAGAAGAUACUCAAAUUUAGACUGUAAGAGUUUUUCUUUUGCAAACUGUUAGUGUUUUGUGCACAUUAACAUGAAGCAAGCAAUGGGGAUGUCUAAUAUCUUUGCUUGAGCCAUCAAUGAAAAUAUUGAAGGAUAUUGAUGCCUGUGUGAAAACAGAUCUAAGUAUCAGCAGUACUUAAAAACUUCCCAAAGAAUCAUUCAUCGUUUUAACUGAUGUUUCUUUUACACGACAUAGCUAGAAUAGUUAAUACUAUUAAACAUGUUGCGUUAGAUACUAAGUGAUAAGCAAGUACAGGAAUAAAGCACUAACCAAACCUACUCUUGAAAGAGAA